UGAGGAAUAUUGGUCAAUGGACGCAAGUCUGAACCAGCCAAGUAGCGUGAAGGAUGACCGCCCUAUGGGUUGUAAACUUCUUUUAUAAGGGAAUAAAUUGAGGUACGCGUACCUUUUUGUAUGUACCUUAUGAAUAAGCAUCGGCUAACUCCGUGCCAGCAGCCGCGGUAAUACGGAGGAUGCGAGCGUUAUCCGGAUUUAUUGGGUUUAAAGGGAGCGUAGGCGGGUUUUUAAGUCAGUUGUGAAAGUUUGCGGCUCAACCGUAAAAUUGCAGUUGAUACUGGAAGCCUUGAGUGCGGCAGAGGCAGGCGGAAUUCGUGGUGUAGCGGUGAAAUGCUUAGAUAUCACGAAGAACUCCGAUUGCGAAGGCAGCUUGCUGGAGCGUAACUGACGCUGAUGCUCGAAAGUGCGGGUAUCAAACAGG
rnacentral:rRNA from 1 species